rnacentral:lncRNA from 1 species
CCAAACACCCCAAAACAAGCACCCAACCUUACCAAAACAUGCAUAAACCCUUAACCAUGCACAAAGGAGUUUAAACAAGCUUAAACUCCAACAAAGAACAUCAAAAAGCAUACUUAAAUGGCUUAUGACCCACAUAAGCCAAAACCAACAAAACUAUCCAAAAUCUCACUUGCUCUUUCCCACUCAUGCAUACACUCUCCCACAUGCAUAACCUAGCCUAAACAUUCAACAUAGCAUCAUAUAAACAUACAUGAGCAUCACAUAACAUACAUUGGGCAUAAAACCCACAUAAAUCCUAACAUGCAUAUCUACCCAUACUCUACAAUUAAAACCUUCAUAAAACUUCAAAAGACACUAGGAAAGCAAAGAUCUACACUUACCUCUUGAAGAUCGAGGGUUGCGUGAUCUCUAACUCGGAGGUGUGGAGAAUCCAAGCUCCAAAAGCUCCAAGCUCCCAAAACUUCGAUCUAAACUUUAAAACUCUUCAAAAUAACCAUGGAACUCAUGAAAACAUGAAGGAGAUGAAGAAAA